CUGAUUGACAUUCACAAAACAGAUAACAAACAGUAAAUACCGCAAUUGAAUAAUUUUUUAUUCCGCAUGAUUUACUACGCAACCAAACAGAUAUUGUGAAUUGCAAACACAACUACAGAUCUUCCACUAAAAAUUGGGAGAGAAAGAGAAACCUAUCUUUUCCUCAAAAUCAAAAAUCACUUUUCUUAUCUUCCAGAGUCAACAAAAGAAGACAAAAUUCCUUUCAAUUGAAACUCAUAAUGAAAAAAAUAAAAUUGCUGAUAGAGUUCCAUUUUCCUAAAAUUCUGUCCGAGGAAACGCUCUGUUCUAAUGAAAUUUCUGUGCAACCAAACA
rnacentral:misc_RNA from 1 species